GAUGAACGCUGGCGGCGUGCCUAAUACAUGCAAGUCGAGCGAACAGACGAGGAGCUUGCUCCUCUGACGUUAGCGGCGGACGGGUGAGUAACACGUGGAUAACCUACCUAUAAGACUGGGAUAACUUCGGGAAACCGGAGCUAAUACCGGAUAAUAUAUUGAACCGCAUGGUUCAAUAGUGAAAGACGGUUUUGCUGUCACUUAUAGAUGGAUCCGCGCCGCAUUAGCUAGUUGGUAAGGUAACGGCUUACCAAGGCAACGAUGCGUAGCCGACCUGAGAGGGUGAUCGGCCACACUGGAACUGAGACGCGGUCCAGACUCCUACGGGAGGCAGCAGUAGGGAAUCUUCCGCAAUGGGCGAAAGCCUGACGGAGCAACGCCGCGUGAGUGAUGAAGGUCUUCGGAUCGUAAAACGCUGUUAUUAGGGAAGAACAAAUGUGUAAGUAACUAUGCACGUCUUGACGGUACCUAAUCAGAAAGCCACGGCUAACUACGU
rnacentral:rRNA from 1 species